CUCUGCUGCCCGAAACAAGCGCGUGGAAAGCUUGGUCGGGGCUUCUCACAGCCGCGCGCACAGACUGGUUCUCCCCCCGCGUCUCCCGGGAGCGUCGCCGCCACCUGCACGCGUCCGGCACACAAACGUCGGUCUCACCCCUUAGUUUCUGGAAGAGAAAAAGGAAAAGCCACCGAGAGGCCUGACCCUGAGGGGUCGGGGGGAGAUGCGGGCGCGUAGUAGAGGGAAGCGACUGAGGAGCGGGGACUGGGCAGCAUUUGAAUGGAUGCGGGUGCCGCUGGCACCCGGGAAGACGCCUGGGAGCCGGCGCUGGGGAGCCGGGCAUGGGCUGGGAUGUGUUUGGAUUCCAAUCUGGGCCUGACACCAGUUCAGUGACCUCGGGAAGUUCCCCAACCCUGCGGGCCUGUUUCCUCCCUCUGAAGUGGCGACAGUAAUAGAACCGACCUCGUAGGCUCAUCGGGAGGUCCUGAUGGGAGAACCCAUGCAACUUGCCACCACAGAGCCAGGCCCGCGGCGACUGGCUCCUGGUGGGUAUUAAAGACGAGUCGGGAAAGAAGAGCAGGGUUGCCUGCUGAGGAAGCUUUUCACAGCAUGAGACCUUCCGCAGGCUCAAUCAAACCUUCAAUGGCCCCGAAAGACAUCUUGAUUGAAACCUCAUGAGAGACUCUGAGCCAGAAAACCCAGCAACUUAGAACCCAGAUACCUGACCAUCAGCCACUGUGUGAAAUAAUAAAUGUUUGUUGUUUUAA
rnacentral:lncRNA from 10 species